rnacentral:rRNA from 1 species
AUACGUAGGGGGCGAGCGUUGUCCGGAAUGAUUGGGCGUAAAGGGCGCGUAGGCGGCCCGGUAAGUCUGGAGUGAAAGUCCUGUUUUUAAGAUGGGAAUUGCUUUGGAUACUGUCGGGCUUGAGUGCAGGAGAGGUAAGGGGAAUUCCCAGUGUAGCGGUGAGAAGCAUAGAGAUUGGGAGGAACACCAGUGGCGAAGGCGACUUACUGGACUGUAACUGACGCUGAGGCGCGAAAGUGUGGGGAGCAAACAGGAUUAGAUACCCUGGUAGUCCACACUGUAAACGAUGAAUGCUAGGUGUAGGGGGUAUCGACCCCUUCUGUGCCGCAGUCAACACAAUAAGCAUUCCGCCUGGGGAGUACGGCCGCAAGGUUGAAACUCAAAGGAAUUGACGGGG